AUACGUAGGGUGCGAGCGUUAUCCGGAAUCAUUGGGCGUAAAGAGCUCGUAGGCGGUUCAGCAAGUCGGCUGUGAAAGUUCGAGGCUCAACCUCGAAAUUGCAGUCGAUACUGCUGUGACUCGAGUCCGGUAGAGGAGAAUGGAAUUCUCGGUGUAGCGGUGAAAUGCGCAGAUAUCGAGAGGAACACCAGUAGCGAAGGCGGUUCUCUGGGCCGGCACUGACGCUGAGGAGCGAAAGCGUGGGGAGCAAACAGGAUUAGAAACCCGAGUAGUCC
rnacentral:rRNA from 1 species